CACGUAGGGGACGAGCGUUUGUCCGGAUUCAUUGGGCGUAAAGCGCGCGUAGGCGGCUCGGAAAGUCGGGCGUGAAAUCCCGCGGCUCAACCGUGGAACUGCCUCAGAUACUGACGGUCUCGAGGGAGGUAGGGGCGAGCGGAACUGAUGGUGGAGCGGUGAAAUGCGUAGAUAUCUGGAGGAACACCGGUGGCGAAGGCGGCAUCCUGGACCAACACUGACGCUGAGUGAGCGAAAGCCAGGGGAGCAAACGGG
rnacentral:rRNA from 1 species